rnacentral:rRNA from 1 species
AUUGAACGCUGGCGGCAGGCCUAACACAUGCAAGUCGAGUGAGCGGCGGACGGGUGAGUAAUGUCUGGGAAACUGCCUGAUGGAGGGGGAUAACUACUGGAAACGGUAGCUAAUACCGCAUACCAUCAGAUGUGCCCAGAUGGGAUUGUCUAGUAGGUGGGGUAACGGCUCACCUAGGCGACGAUCCCUAUCUGGUCUGAGAGGAGGACCAGCCACACUGGAACUGAGACACGGUCCAGACUCCGACGGGAGGCAGCAGUGGGGAAUAUUGCACAAUGAGCGCAAGCCUGAUGUAGCCAUGCCGCGUGUGGGAAGAAGGCCUUCGGGUUGAAAAGCACUUUCAGCGGGGAGGCGUUACCCGCAGAAGAAGCACCGGCGAACUCCGUGCCAGCAGCCGCGGUAAUAC